GUGGGGAUUCGUCCCAGGCGAGCGCCCGCCAGAGUUAAACCAAACUCUUGUUAUUUAACCGGUCGUCUGAGUUAAAAUUUUGAAUAAAUCAAAACUUUCAACAACGGAUCUCUUGGUUCUCGCAUCGAUGAAGAACGCAGCGAAAUGCGAUAAGUAAUGUGAAUUGCAGAAUUCAGUGAAUCAUCGAAUCUUUGAACGCACAUUGCGCCCCUUGGUAUUCCGAGGGGCAUGCCUGUUCGAGCGUCAUUACACCACUCAAGCUAUGCUUGGUAUUGGGUGCCGUCCUUAGUUGGGCGCGCCUUAAAGACCUCGGCGAGGCCUCACCGGCUUUAGGCGUAGUAGAAUUUAUUCGAACGUCUGUCAAAGGAGAGGACUUCUGCCGACUGAAACCUUUAUUUUUCUAGGUUGACCUCGGAUCAGGUAGGGAUACCCGCUGAACUUAAGCAUAUCAAUAAGCG
rnacentral:rRNA from 1 species